AUCAGAUCACUUGGUUGAUUGCUAGGUUGGAUUACAUUUGAGUGUUUUUCUUUAAAUAGGAACACAGGGAAAGAGGUGGAGAGGGAGACAGACAUUCCCUCUACCGCUUCACUCGCCAAAAUGCCUGCAACAGUCGUGAGUGGGCCAGGCCGAAGCCAGCAGCCUUGAGCGCAAUCCAGGUCUCCCGCGUAGGCGGAACAGACCCCAGCCCUGGGGCCAUCAGCGCUGUCUCCCAGGGUGCGCAGCAGCCGGAAGCCGGCCCAGAGCCGGCGGCGCAGGCCAGUGGCGUCAUCAGGCCGCGCGGAGCAGCUGCGGCGCUGAGGCGUUGAGCCGGAAGUCGCAGAGGCGGCGUCGCGGAGGCGGGGAAAGUGAGCUGUCGCGGGCUCUUAAGCUCCGUGUCGGGCUCUGGUGGCCUCGCCUGGACCCCGCGCGCGCUGUGCCCCAGGUCUCUUGUGCGGGGCUUGCUCCAGGAAGCUCUUUCUGGGCAAAAUCGAGAAGACAGCCCCUGUCCCACCUGACAGCCUUCUCAGCUCCGUCCAGGAGCCGCCAUGGACACCUCCUGCCCCGCUCUGCUGAGGGACGCGGGAGCCACUGGGGACACUGAGGGCUUGGGGGACCGCAGUCAGUCCCCCCCCGGGAAGUCCCCAUCCAGGAUGCGAUUCUGGCCUCGGGAUUCUUCUCCCUCUCCCGGGGCUCCCAGGAAGGGAGACGAGUGGUGCACAAAUGAAAAUGCAACAACAGAAAUCAAAUGAACAGAAAUCAAAACACAAAAAUGAACAAACUCACUCUGCUCCCGUUACCAACAGAAAACAUGAACUGUAUCCACUACACCACACCAACAAGGAGACUGUUCUAGUGGAAUAAAAUGUUAAAAUGAGAAAACACAAAAUGAACAUGUAUGGUGGCAGGAAACAAAGUAAAACAGAAAAAGACAAAGUAAUCAAAAUGGAAAAAGAAAAAACAAAUUUGACCAAACAGGAGCAGCAGGAUCCGAUUCUUCCUCCGGAUUCCUCUCCCUCUCCAGGGCUCCCCCAGGAAGGGUCAGCAGGGCUGACGUCUGGGAGACCCCGAGCCAGCAGCUGACACAGAUCAGCUCUCAUGGCUCUGACUACUUGAGCACAAACGAAGAUGAAACAAACAGAAAUCAAAUGAACAGAACUCAAACACAAAAUGGACAAAGUCAGCUCACAUCACCAACAGAAAACAGGAACUAAAUGAACUCAACUAGACUCACAACUGAGACUAACCCUAUCGAAACAGUUAAAAGUGAGAAAACACAAAUAAAUGAAUAAUAAAGCAUAAAGAAAAAAAUCCCAAAAACCUGAACUGUAUAACAACCAAAGCAGACAGCCUCACAGUCUUAUUAAAAAAAAAGGGGGGG